rnacentral:rRNA from 1 species
UUUCGAAAGAAAGAUUAAUACCCGAUGGCAUAAUUAGACCGCAUGGUCUUAUUAUUAAAGAAUAUCGGUUAUCGAUGGCGAUGCGUACCAUUAGGCAGUUGGUGAGUUAAACGGCUCACCAAACGUUCGAUGGAUAGGGGUUCUGAGAGGAAGGUCCCCCACAUUGGAACUGAGACACGGUCCAAACUCCUACGGGAGGCAGCAGUGAGGAAUAUUGGUCAAUGGGCGCAGGCCUGAACCAGCCAAGUAGCGUGAAGGAUGACUGCCCUAUGGGUUGUAAACUUCUUUUAUAUGGGAAUAAAGUUUUCCACGUGUGGAAUUUUGUAUGUACCAUAUGAAUAAGGAUCGGCUAACUCCGUGCCAGCAGCCGCGGUAAUACGGAGGAUCCGAGCGUUAUCCGGAUUUAUUGGGUUUAAAGGGAGCGUAGGUGGACAGUUAAGUCAGUUGUGAAAGUUUGCGGCUCAACCGUAAAAUUGCAGUUGAUACUGGCUGUCUUGAGUACAGUAGAGGUGGGCGGAA